AGCAGCCGCGGUAAUUCCAGCUCCAAUAGCGUAUAUUAAAGUUGUUGCAGUUAAAAAGCUCGUAGUUGAAUUUCGGGAUUGACACAUCGGUCGUGCCUUAAGGGGUAUGAACUGGUGUAGUCAGUUUCUCACCUUCUGGAGAACCGCGAUGUCCUUAAUUGGGUGCCGCGAGGAACCAGGACCUUUACUUUGAAAAAAUUAGAGUGUUUAAAGCAGGCAUUUUGCUUGAAUACAUUAGCAUGGAAUAAUAAAAUAGGACGGAUGGUUCUAUUUUGUUGGUUUCUAGGAUCACCGUAACGAUUAAUAGGGAUAGUUGGGGGCAUUAGUAUUCAAUUGUCAGAGGUGAAAUUCUUGGAUUUAUUGAAGACUAACUACUGCGAAAGCAUUUGCCAAGGAUGUUUUCAUUAAUCAAGAACGAAAGUUAGGGGAUCGAAGACGAUCAGAUACCGUCGUAGUCUUAACCAUAAACUAUGCCGACUAGGAAUCAGACGAUGUUAAUUUUUUAAUGACUCG
rnacentral:rRNA from 1 species